rnacentral:lncRNA from 1 species
UGCUAGAGCACUACUGCCUCCUUAGAGCCCUUGAAACACAAGGGUCUGGAGGCAUGUGCUAUACCGUACAACUAUCCCAGCGGCAUCCUCUAAAGAGAGGAAGCGCUAGGAAUGCAUGGGGCUAAUAACAUGUAGGACCACAUCUCUCAGAAAACCUAGGACUGUGUCUGUGUUAAAAAGCGGUUCUGGGCCGAGGAACAUUACUGGAUGGAGAGGGAUGUGCUGUCUGUAAGCUAAGGAAAAAUGUUUCGUUCUUUCAAAUUCGGCUUCGCGACACUCCAGAAGGACGUGGAGCACGGUCAGCCUCUCCCCGCAUCUACCACAGGUUGGAGGCUCACUUCCGGAAUCUGUUGUCCACACAUUUGUAAGCAAGGAUCCGGAACUAGGCCUCUCUUCCUUGUAAACAGCACACAAGAACUUUUUUGAGGAUUGAUUUUAAAACCAUUUUUCUCUGCCCACCCUGACACCUUGUUCAAGCCAUGCUGUACCUGUCUCUCGCAUACUGCGAGGUUACAGGAUUUGAAGCCUAUUUGAAUGUCGUCCACAUAGACGGAAUACAAGAUGGCUGGUGGUAAGGACGCACGAAGCGUUGUCAUUUUAACAAUAAAAAGUGUGCAACUGA